rnacentral:rRNA from 1 species
UUACGGUCCAAUCACGCUGAAAACACCGGUUCUCGUUCGAUCACCGAAGUUAAGCAUCGUAAAGCCAGGUCAGUACUUAGAUGGGGGACCGCUUCGGAACACCUGGUACUGUAAG